rnacentral:rRNA from 1 species
UGUAAGCGUAUACCAAAGUUGUUGCAGUUAAAACGCUCGUAGUCGGAAUUUGGCAGUUCCGGAUGUGUGCACGUCGUGUGCGCACUUCGCGGGGAUUGCUUUUGUGGUCUUGCGUAGGAUGAGGCACUUUUAUUAGUGAACGUCCUCACGCAACCACUUUUUACUGUGAGAAAAUCAGAGUGCUCAAAGCAGGCAUUUGCCGUGAAUGUAUUAGCAUGGAAUAAUAGAAUAGGACUUGGUUCUAUGUUGUUGGUUUGUUGGGACUGAGUAAUGAUUAAGAGGGACAGUUGGGGGCAUUUGUAUUUCGGUGCUAGAGGUGAAAUUCUUAGAUUACCGAAAGACAAACUGCUGCGAAAGCGUCUGCCAAGGAUGUUUUCAUUGA